UACGGAGGGAGCUAGCGUUGUUCGGAAUUACUGGGCGUAAAGCGCACGUAGGCGGCUUUGUAAGUUAGAGGUGAAAGCCCGGAGCUCAACUCCGGAACUGCCUUUAAGACUGCAUCGCUUGAAUCCAGGAGAGGUGAGUGGAAUUCCGAGUGUAGAGGUGAAAUUCGUAGAUAUUCGGAAGAACACCAGUGGCGAAGGCGGCUCACUGGACUGGUAUUGACGCUGAGGGUGCGAAAAGCGUGGGGAGCAAACAGG
rnacentral:rRNA from 1 species